AACCUAAAUUUUCAUUAAACCCAAAAAGUUAAUUAAACUGGUAAAAGUUUUUGUCCGAACUUCUUACUCUGGGAAUGGAAGAAUCGAAAGUGAAAAGGCAACCUAAGAAAAGAAAAAAAAAAAAACCCAAAAUUCCCAAGCUGCAGAAGAAAGAAAAUAAAAACUGUGGAAUUUUCUAAUUGAAGAAGGCAGUUGGUGAACUGUAAAAAGUAGAUCGACUCGUUGAAUUUAAAUCCCUUACUGAAAUCAUUUUGCUGCUACAGUGCAUCUGUGGAGUUGAGGGCUUCCAAAUAAAGAGGUGGGUAAUCGAAUGAGCAAGAUAUGGUUCUACUUUUCUUUUGGUUGAAUAGCACUGAAACUUGUAAGAAAAAAAGAAUCUAAUGCUUCAGAACUUGUGUGCGUUUUUAUUUCUUGCUAUAUAAUCUGAGACUUUUAUACAUCA